CAGAGGGUAGUUUAUAAAAAUAUUAGUUUUGGGGACUAAAGAUAGGGCAUUAGCUUUACCUCUGA
rnacentral:tRNA from 5 species